UGUCACUUCCAUCACAUCUACUAGUUCUCCUUCUACAGAGCUUGUCGCUACCACAGCACCUACCAGUCCCAUUACUACAGUUUUUUUACAGCCAGUCACUUCCACAACAUCUACCAGUUCUACUUCUACAGAUCAUUUACUGACAGUCAC